rnacentral:tRNA from 1 species
GGGGAUUUAGCUCAGUGGUAGAGCGCUUGCCUAGUAAGCACAAGGCCCUGGGUUUGGUUUCCAGCUCCG